GACGGACGAGAGGCUGAGCUGUAUAUCACAGAUAAUGCGGGCUCGGCAGAUCCUUGAAGCAGCUUUGCAGUCAGCUCGUAACGUUUUCUAUGGACACAAAGAAUUACAAAAUUGUAAUCCUCUAUAUUAAAAUGCUUCACAACUCGUCGAUUGUAUAGGUUAUCCCAAGGACUUCCAUGAGACCACUACAGUUAUCAAACGUAUACUUUGUCAAGAUAUUCACUAUUUGUAAUGAUAAAACACAUAGCACUCCUAUAUUAAAUACAAUGCCCAUAUUGGAACUACUUAUUGGAUACUGCGAUUCGCCUCACCUACGCCAUUAACCAGCAAAAUACAAAAAAAAUCUUACGUGACACGACCGAGCACAACGGUGUUAUAUUACUAAAAAGAAUGAGACGGAACAUUUUCCAUGUUCUGACGUUCCGGUUAUUAGAGCGAGACAAGAGAUUUGCCUGAGAAAGCGAUGCCAUAAAUGCUCAAAGCAUUCAAGGAAAUAUACUACUAUUAUUUUCCAUAUAAUAAUACUUUAUAUGCAUACCUUUGUU